AUUGAACGCUGGCGGCAGGCCUAACACAUGCAAGUCGAGCGGAUGAAGGGAGCUUGCUCCUGGAUUCAGCGGCGGACGGGUGAGUAAUGCCUAGGAAUCUGCCUGGUAGUGGGGGAUAACGUCCGGAAACGGGCGCUAAUACCGCAUACGUCCUGAGGGAGAAAGUGGGGGAUCUUCGGACCUCACGCUACCAGAUGAGCCUAGGUCGGAUUAGCUAGUUGGUGGGGUAAAGGCCUACCAAGGCGACGAUCCGUAACUGGUCUGAGAGGAUGAUCAGUCACACUGGAACUGAGACACGGUCCAGACUCCUACGGGAGGCAGCCGUGGGGAAUAUUGGACCAUGGGCGAAAGCCUGAUCCAGCCAUGCCGCGUGUGUGAAGAAGGUCUUCGGAUUGUAAAGCACUUUAAGUUGGGAGGAAGGGCAGUAAGUUAAUACCUUGCUGUUUUGACGUUACCAACAGAAUAAGCACCGGCUAACUUCGUG
rnacentral:rRNA from 1 species